UGGGGAAUAUUGGACAAUGGGGGCAACCCUGAUCCAGCAAUGCCGCGUGUGUGAAGAAGGUCUUCGGAUUGUAAAGCACUUUCGACGGGGACGAUGAUGACGGUACCCGUAGAAGAAGCCCCGGCUAACUUCGUGCCAGCAGCCGCGGUAAUACGAAGGGGGCUAGCGUUGCUCGGAAUGACUGGGCGUAAAGGGCGUGUAGGCGGUUUACACAGUCAGAUGUGAAAUCCCCGGGCUUAACCUGGGAGCUGCAUUUGAUACGUGUAGACUAGAGUGUGAGAGAGGGUUGUGGAAUUCCCAGUGUAGAGGUGAAAUUCGUAGAUAUUGGGAAGAACACCGGUGGCGAAGGCGGCAACCUGGCUCAUGACUGACGCUGAGGCGCGAAAGCGUGGGGAGCAAACAGGAUUAGAUACCCUGGUAGUCCACGCUGUAAACGAUGUGUGCUAGAUGUUGGGUAACUUUGUUAUUCAGUGUCGCAGUUAACGCGUUAAA
rnacentral:rRNA from 1 species